UACGGAGGAUCCAAGCGUUAUCCGGAUUUAUUGGGUUUAAAGGGUGCGUAGGCGGCCUGUUAAGUCAGGGGUGAAAGACGGCAGCUUAACUGUCGCAGUGCCUUUGAUACUGAAGAACUUGAAUACACUAGAGGUAGGCGGAAUGUGACAAGUAGCGGUGAAAUGCAUAGAUAUGUCACAGAACACCAAUUGCGAAGGCAGCUUACUAUGGUGUCAUUGACACUGAGGCACGAAAGCGUGGGGAUCAAACAGG
rnacentral:rRNA from 1 species